rnacentral:rRNA from 1 species
CGGUGUUUAACUGGCGUGAUGUGGGACGUCCUACCGGUGGGCUUAGCCUCGCGAGGGGCGGCCCAACUAAUAUCCCGUCGCGGUGCUCUUUACUGAGUGUUGAGUCGGGCCGGUACGUUUACUUUGAACAAAUUAGAGUGCUUAAAGCAGGCUAUCCUCGCCUGAAUACUGCGUGCAUGGAAUAAUGGAAUAGGACCUCGGUUCUAUUUUGUUGGUUUUCGGAACCCCGAGGUAAUGAUUAAUAGGGACAGAUGGGGGCAUUCGUAUUGCGACGUUAGAGGUGAAAUUCUUGGAUCGUCGCAAGACGGACAGAAGCGAAAGCAUUUGCCAAAAAUGUUUUCAUUAAUCAAGAACGAAAGUUAGAGGUUCGAAGGCGAUCAGAUACCGCCCUAGUUCUAACCAUAAACGAUGCCAGCUAGCGAUCCGCCGAAGUUCCUCCGAUGACUCGGCGGGCAGCUUCCGGGAAACCAAAGCUUUUGGGUUCCGGGGGAAGUAUGGUUGCAAAGCUGAAACUUAAAGGAAUUGACGGAAGGGCACCACCAGGAGUGGAGCCUGCGGCUUAAUUUGACUCAACACGGGAAACCUCACCAGGCCCAGACACCGGAAGGAUUGACAGAUUGAUAGCUCUUUCUUGAUUCGGUGGGUGGUGGUGCAUGGGCCGUUCUUAGUUGGUGGAGCGAUUUGUCUGGUUAAUUCCGAUAACGAACGAGACUCUAGCCUGCUAAAUAGGCGUACCUUAUGGUAUCGCGAAGGCCCCCGGCUUCGGCCGGUGGGUUUUUACUACCAACGUACAAACAAAUCUUCUUAGAGGGCACAGGCGG